rnacentral:rRNA from 1 species
UACGUAGGGUGCAAGCGUUAAUCGGAAUUACUGGGCGUAAAGCGUGCGCAGGCGGUGCUGUAAGACAGGCGUGAAAUCCCCGGGCUUAACCUGGGAAUGGCGCUUGUGACUGCAGUGCUGGAGUGUGGCAGAGGGGGAUGGAAUUCCGCGUGUAGCAGUGAAAUGCGUAGAUAUGCGGAGGAACACCGAUGGCGAAGGCAAUCCCCUGGGCCUGCACUGACGCUCAUGCACGAAAGCGUGGGGAGCAAACAGGAUUAGAUACCCUGGUAGUCCACGCCCUAAACGAUGUCAACUGGUUGUUGGGUCUUUUCUGACUCAGUAACGAAGCUAACGCGUGAAGUUGACCGCCUGGGGAGUACGGCCGCAAGGUUGAA